CAUACAUUGUUAAGUUCAAAUUGAGUUCUUCCUUUUCUUUCUUUACAAAUCCAACAAAAAAAAACCAAAUUUCUGAAUCAAAAAUCAAACCAAAAACCAAGUUCACUCCCCUUUUGUUUCUCUGAUUUGAACCAACCACCACCACCAUAACCACCGACUACCACCGUGACAUCCCCCAACACCGUACCCCACCGUACUUCCCCCUGCUCUCCUCCUCCUUCGUCGCAACUCCCCUACCCUCCCCUGUCUUCCCUUUCCUCGUUUCCCUUGCUGUGCCACCACACCCCAUCACCCUCACCAAUUGGUGAACCAACCUCCGCCGUCCCACCGUUCCCGGCGAGCCACCGCUGCCUCCUCCCAGAACCACCCCAAAGCACCCCUCAAACUCCCCCUUGUUAUUUUCCCUGUUCGUGCUCCCCUCCCUCCCUCCCGUCGUUCUUCCGCCGGAAAACAACCACCACCACCAUCGCCUCCGUCGCGGUUUGCGCUGCUGCACCGCCCAACUCAGGCCACCCUCCUCUCCUCUCCUCCUCCCCUUCGUGCCUCCCCUGUUUCGCACCUCCUCUCUCUUUGGUCGACUCCCAGAAACCCAAAUCCAAUCUUGGUUUUAAAACCUUGAUUCUAUUUUCCUCCAACCCAAACUUAAGUUGGGCCAAUUUAACAAUUUGGGCUUUAGAAAUCGGACUUGGAGCUCAGGAAGAACGAUCCAUCAGACGGGAAGUAUAAAACUACAGUUGAGGUACUGCGGGGAACGAUGGAAACGAGUAGAGGCGAGGAAUUUCACUUUAAUAUUAUUUACCUAGUUUAUGCUUAAUGUUUUGAUAGUUUAAUUAAAGACUUUUAGUAAGUUAGGUACUUUUAUUUUAGAAAUAUAAAGGAUUAUUAUGUUAAUUUGGAGGAUUUAAUGGCUUAUGGUAUGAUGUUGUCUUGUAAUUCCCAAGAGGGAGUUACGACAGGUAAUGUCCUGACUGAAUUAGUUAAACUCCGCUGCUAGGUAUGCUUUUAUACUUGAAUUAGAGGUCGGGGCGUUACAAGUUGUGAUUUGGACAUGAUCUGAUGAUAUUGGUUUUAAUCUGAUGCAGAUAUAGACAACAACG